rnacentral:rRNA from 1 species
UACGUAGGGGGGCAAGCGUUGUCCGGAAUCAUUGGGCGUAAAGCGCGUGUAGGCGGCCCGGUAAGUCCGCUGUGAAAGUCGGGGGCUCAACCCUCGGAUGCCGGUGGAUACUGUCGGGCUAGAGUGCGGGAGAGGCGAGUGGAAUUCCUGGUGAUAGCGGUGAAAUGCGCAGACUAUCAGGAGGAACACCAAUUGCGAAAGGCAGCUCGCUGGAACGUAACUGACGC